CUUUUGACCUCGGAUCAGGUAGGGAUACCCGCUGAACUUAAGCAUAUCAAUAAGCGGAGGAAAAGAAACCAACAGGGAUUGCCCUAGUAACGGCGAGUGAAGCGGCAACAGCUCAAAUUUGAAAUCUGGCUCUUUCAGAGUCCGAGUUGUAAUUUGCAGAGGGCGCUUUGGCGUUGGCAGCGGUCCAAGUUCUUUGGAACAGGACGUCACAGAGGGUGAGAAUCCCGUACGUGGUCGCUAGCCUUCGCCGUGUAAAGCCCCUUCGACGAGUCGAGUUGUUUGGGAAUGCAGCUCUAAAUGGGAGGUAAAUUUCUUCUAAAGCUAAAUACUGGCCAGAGACCGAUAGCGCACAAGUAGAGUGAUCGAAAGAUGAAAAGCACUUUGGAAAGAGAGUCAAAUAGCACGUGAAAUUGUUGAAAGGGAAGCGCUUGCAGCCAGACUUGCCUGUAGUUGCUUAUCCGGACUUUUGUCCGGUGCACUCUUCUGCGGGCAGGCCAGCAUCAGUUUGGGCGGUUGGAUAAAGGUCUCUGUCAUGUACCUCCUUUCGGGGAGGCCUUAUAGGGGAGACGACAUGCAACCAGCCUGGACUGAGGUCCGCGCAUCUGCUAGGAUGCUGGCGUAAUGGCUGUAAGCGGCCCGUCUUGAAACACGGACCAAGGAGUCUAACAUCUAUGCGAGUGUUUGGGUGUCAAGCCCAGACGCGUAAUGAAAGUGAACGGAGGUGGGAACCUUUUAGGUGCACCAUCGACCGAUCCUGAUGUCUUCGGAAGGAUUUGAGUAAGAGCAUGGCUGUUGGGACCCGAAAGAUGGUGAACUAUGCUUGAAUAGGGUGAAGCCAGAGGAAACUCUGGUGGAGGCUCGCAGCGGUUCUGACGUGCAAUCGAUCGUCAAAUUUGGGCAUA
rnacentral:rRNA from 1 species